UCCAACUCGUCUCAACACCUCAAAGGGGCCAAUAAUCCUUGGGCUUAGCUUGCCCUUCUUUCCAAACCUUAUAAUUCCCUUCAUUGGAGAGUCUUUCAAGAGAACCUUCUCGCCAAUCAUGAAUGAUACAUCACGCGCCUUCUGAUCCAUAUAGCUUUUCUGCCUAGAUUGAGUUGUGCGAAGCCUCUCCUUAAUAGACUUUACCUUAUCCAAG
rnacentral:lncRNA from 1 species